UCUGGACCGCUAAUCGGUUGGCCAAAUUGUGGCCUUUGCACAUUAUGCAAAAGAGAGCAAGAAACGGGUGAACAUCUAUUCUACAAGUGUCGCUUUACCAUUAGACUAUUGAAGUUGGUCAUAGAAAAUUUUGGUCUACACUAUCUGGACACCUCUUUAUGGCACUUGGAGGACUCCGUUGAGUCAUGGUGGGAUCAUCGGACCGGCCUAUCCGUUCCAAAGCGGAAGGCCACGGCCUCCCUCAUCAUGCUCGUUUCUUGGACAAUAUGAAAUGAGCGAAACUCCCGGGUCUUUCGUCACAAGAGCGCUCCGCCGACGAUCCUUCUCAACAUCAUCAUAGAAGAAGCAAAGCUUUGGAGUAUAGUGGGAGCAAAAAAACUAGGGACACUACUUGAACGCGAGUAA
rnacentral:rRNA from 1 species